rnacentral:rRNA from 1 species
AAAUGAAUAGACGGGGGCUCACACAAGCGGUGGAGGAUGUGGUUUAAUUCGAAGCAACGCGCAGAACCUUACCAGGUCUUGACAUGCUGGGAUUAAGUGAAUGAAAGUUUACGGAUUGCCCGCAAGGGUGUAACCAGCACAGGUGCUGCAUGGCUGUCGUCAGCUCGUGCCGUGAGGUGUCAGGUUAAGUCCUUUAACGAGCGAAACCCCUACGUCGAGUUGCCAGCGGGUAAAGCCGGGAACUCUCGACGGACUGCCGCGCAAGCUGGAGGAGGGAGGGGACGACGUCAAGUCAUCAUGGCCUUUAUGACCUGGGCCACACACGUCCUACAAUGGGUGGUACAACGGGAAGCAAUGCCGCAAGGCGGAGCCAAUCCUCGAAAGCCACCCUCAGUUCGGAUUGUGGGCUGCAAUUCGCCCACAUGAAGCUGGAAUCGCUAGUAAUCGCGGAUCAGCCACGCCGCGGUGAAUAUGUUCCUGAGCCUUGUACACACCGCCCGU